AUGUUUGCUACUAAGAGUGCUCCUAUUGAUCCCAAUGAUAUGCCUUUGUCUACUUUGAUUGAGAAUAAUAAUGAAUCUAUGGAUGUGAAUUUUGUUGGUAGGAAUAAUUUUGGUAACAAUGCUUAUAGAGGAAACUUUAAUCCUAUGUCGUUUCCUAGUAAUUCCUCUAAUAAUUAUGGUAAUUCCUACAACAACUCUUAUGGAAAAUUUAAUAAGACGCCCUCUGAUUUUGAGAAUAGUGUUAAAGAAUUUAUGAUCUCUCAAAAAAAAUUCAAUGCUUUGCUUGAAGAAAAAUUGCUUAAAGUUGAUGAAUUGGCUAGAAACGUUGAUAGACUUUCUCUUAAUGUUGAUUCUUUGAAACUUAGAUCUAUUCCACCUAAGCAUGAUAUCAAUGAGUCUCUCAAAGCCAUGAGAAUUUCCAUUGAUGAGCGUGAAGAAAGAACCGCUAGGAUGCGUGCUAAGAAAGAUUGCUUUGUAAAAGUGUGUUCUUCUAGUUUCCGUGAUAAUAAUGAUGAAGAACUAAAAGUUAUUGAUGUGUCCCCUAUUAAAUCUUUGUUUUGCAGUAUGAAUCUUGAUAAUGAUGGGACUAGAGAUGAGUCAACUUUAGUUAAAAGGCGUCCCAAUAAUUCGGAGUUUCUAGAUCUUGAUGCUAAAUUUGGUAAAAGUGGGAUUGGAGAGGUCAAAACUUUACAUAGCAAUGAACCCAAUAUUUUGGAUUUCAAGAAAUUUAAUUAUGAUAAUUGUUUUUUAAUAGAUUGUUUUUCCUUGUUGCAAUCCGUGUUGAAUUCUCCUCAUGCUUAUAGUCAAAAUAAAGCUUUUACCAAUCAUAUUGUUGAUGCCUUGAUGCAAUCUUAUGAAGAAAAACUUGAAUUGGAAGUUUCUAUCCCUAGAAAACUUUAUGAUGAGUCAGAACCUACUAUAAAAAUUAAAAUUAAAGAUCAUGAAUGCUAUGCUUUGUGUGAUUUGGGUGCUAGUAUUUCCACGAUUCCAAAAACUUUAUGUGAUGUGCUAGGUUUCCGUGAAUUUGAUGAUUGCUCUUUAAACUUGCACCUUGCGGAUUACACUAUUAAGAAACCCAUGGUAAGGAUUAAUGAUGUUCUUAUUGUUGCAAAUAGGAAUUAUGUGCCCAUAGAUUUCAUCGUUCUUGAUAUAGAUUGCAAUAUUUCAUGUCCUAUUAUUCUUGGUAGACCUUUCCUUAGAACGAUUGGUGCAAUUAUUGAUAUGAAGGAAGGAAAUAUUAGAUUCCAGUUUCCAUUAAGGAAAGACAUGGAACACUUUCCUAGAAAUAAAAUCAAUGACCUUAUGAAUCUAUUAUGA
rnacentral:rRNA from 1 species